CCGACGGUGAGGGGCGAAAGCUGGGGGAGCAAACCGGAUUAGAUACCCGGGUAGUCCCAGCUGUAAACGAUGCGCGUUAGGUGUGUCAGUGACCACGUGUCACUGAUGUGCCGAAGGGAAACCGUGAAGCGCGCCGCCUGGGGAGUACGGUCGCAAGGCUGAAGCUUAAAGGAAUUGGCGGGGGAGCACCACAACGGGUGGAGCCUGCGGUUUAAUCGGACUCAACGCCGGAAAUCUCACCGGAUAA
rnacentral:rRNA from 1 species